rnacentral:rRNA from 1 species
UACGUAGGGGGCAAGCGUUAUCCGGAUUUACUGGGUGUAAAGGGGGCGCAGACGGCGAUGCAAGCCAGGAGUGAAAGCCCGGGGCCCAACCCCGGGACUGCUCUUGGAACUGCGUGGCUGGAGUGCAGGAGGGGCAGGCGGAAUUCCUGGUAUAGCGGUGAAAUGCGUAGAUAUCAGGAGGAACACCGGUGGCGAAGGCGGCCUGCUGGACUGCAACUGACGUUGAGGCCCGAAAGCGUGGGGAGCAAACAGG